rnacentral:rRNA from 1 species
UACGGAGGGUGCAAACGUUGCUCGGAAUCAUUUGGGCGUAAAGCGCACGUAGGCGGCUCGUUAAGUUGGAUGUGAAAGCCCUGGGCUCAACCCAGGAAGUGCAUUCAAAACUGGCGAGCUUGAAUAUGGAAGAGGGUCGCGGAAUUCCCAGUGUAGCGGUGAAAUGCGUAGAUAUUGGGAGGAACACCGGUGGCGAAGGCGGCCCUCUGGACCGAAACUGACACUGAAGCGCGAAAGCUAGGGGAGCAAACGGG